AGAGUUUGAUCAUGGCUCAGAUUGAACGCUGGCGGCAGGCUUAACACAUGCAAGUCGAGCGGGGGAAGGUAGCUUGCUACCGGACCUAGCGGCGGACGGGUGAGUAAUGCUUAGGAAUCUGCCUAUUAGUGGGGGACAACAUCUCGAAAGGGAUGCUAAUACCGCAUACGUCCUACGGGAGAAAGCAGGGGAUCUUCGGACCUUGCGCUAAUAGAUGAGCCUAAGUCGGAUUAGCUAGUUGGUGGGGUAAAGGCCUACCAAGGCGACGAUCUGUAGCGGGUCUGAGAGGAUGAUCCGCCACACUGGGACUGAGACACGGCCCAGACUCCUACGGGAGGCAGCAGUGGGGAAUAUUGGACAAUGGGGGGAACCCUGAUCCAGCCAUGCCGCGUGUGUGAAGAAGGCCUUAUGGUUGUAAAGCACUUUAAGCGAGGAGGAGGCUACUUUAGUUAAUACCUAGAGAUAGUGGACGUUACUCGCAGAAUAAGCACCGGCUAACUCUGUGCCAGCAGCCGCGGUAAUACAGAGGGUGCGAGCGUUAAUCGGAUUUACUGGGCGUAAAGCGUGCGUAGGCGGCUUAUUAAGUCGGAUGUGAAAUCCCCGAGCUUAACUUGGGAAUUGCAUUCGAUACUGGUGAGCUAGAGUAUGGGAGAGGAUGGUAGAAUUCCAGGUGUAGCGGUGAAAUGCGUAGAGAUCUGGAGGAAUACCGAUGGCGAAGGCAGCCAUCUGGCCUAAUACUGACGCUGAGGUACGAAAGCAUGGGGAGCAAACAGGAUUAGAUACCCUGGUAGUCCAUGCCGUAAACGAUGUCUACUAGCCGUUGGGGCCUUUGAGGCUUU
rnacentral:rRNA from 1 species